rnacentral:lncRNA from 1 species
UCAAGAGGAAUACAACUUUAUAUUUCCGCUUUUGGAUGGCGAGGAAGAGCAUAUGCCACUUUGUAUUUAUGUAAAAUAAUUGGCCCUCCUUGUCAUUUCUCAUUUCAUGCUUGAAAUAGCUUUCUGAAACAAACAAAUGACUGUCCAGGCUGGAGAUCUGCAGGGUGGAGAAUGAGUUGUAAAUUCACAGGUCACAGCAGCCCCUCCGAUAGCUGGGCUCAUCAUUGGUCCUUUAUCUGCCCAGGUCUAACCAAGUCGGCUGCUUAAGGGGCUACUUUUGUAGUGCUUUAAUCCGAAUUUAGUAUCCUCUCUUUAAAAAAAAAAAGCUCUUUAAUGUUAGUGGUAAACUAGCUAAUGAACGGUACCUCAUCGCUGCAUAAUACACUUCUGUUGGUGGGGGCGUAGACGAGCCCCUUCCCGGUGCGAGCACCACAAAGCCAUCUGCAUAGCUAGUCACAAAUGCUGUUUUUCUUUCUCUGUGGGUUUGAAUCUAGUUUCCUUGUUAUCAUAGCCUGGACUGCAAAAAGAACCAUCGAGUCCCCUCUUGUGGGGGCAUUGCAACAGUGUUUCUUUUUGUUUUUGUUUUGUUUUUGAAAUGUUUACAAGGUGUUCUUUGGAAGCAGUUGCAACACGUGGAUGGAACUGAAGAAAAGGCUGACUGGCUUGCUAACGGUAUCUCCUGCAGGGGGUUUGUACUGCGGACUUUGAAUGUUUUCUCAGCUCUAAGGCUUGUAUGCUUUCUUACAUACAAUAAACUUAUUUUGUGAAUUCAAAUCAA